UUCCGUUUGACUUCCAAGGUAUGACUGGUUCUGGAAGUGGCUUUUACUUCACGUGAAAACUCAAACAUACAGUAAUGUGGAAAUUAACAGCUGAGGAAAUAAGAUAAACGCCUGUGUGGAUACAGCUUAGGAGACGCAGAAUUAUGCAAGGGAACAGAAGUUAUUAUAUUUGCACAACAUGCAUAGGUUGUACAAAUUGGCCUUCCUUGGUCUGGAGUUUUUAUUUGUGGGUGGAGCAAAAUGCACACAACCUUGGGCUUAGAAGCAGAGGCUGUUUGGAAAUGCAGCAAAACUGCCCCAUAGUUUGGUGUCCAUUGGCUUCCAGAGAAGGCAGGCUUAAUCAAGAAGCAUCUCUGGCAACUGCCCAACGUAUAGGCAGAACUGGUGGAAAUACUGCAAAUAUACGUUUCUGCACAGUGCCUGUGUAUCUAGUUGCAGUUUAGCACCUUCUUGCAACAGGAGGCAAACCCCUCUGGACUCCUGGAUCUGCAAGCAGGAGGAAAGAUUUGAGAAUCUGGC